rnacentral:rRNA from 1 species
UGCCAGCAGCCGCGGUAAUACGAAGGGACCUAGCGUAGUUCGGAAUUACUGGGCUUAAAGCGCGCGUAGGCGGUGUGUUAAGUCGGAUGUGAAAGCCCAGGGCUCAACCUUGGAAUUGCAUCCGAUACUGGCACGCUAGAGUGCAGUAGAGGGAGGUGGAAUUUCCGGUGUAGCGGUGAAAUGCGUAGAGAUCGGAAGGAACACCAGUGGCGAAGGCGGCCUCCUGGACUGACACUGACGCUGAGGUGCGAAAGCGUGGGGAGCAAACAGGAUUAGAUA